GCAAGUCGAACGAACUCUGGUAUUGAUUGGUGCUUGCAUCAUGAUUUACAUUUGAGUGAGUGGCGAACUGGUGAGUAACACGUGGGAAACCUGCCCAGAAGCGGGGGAUAACACCUGGAAACAGAUGCUAAUACCGCAUAACAACUUGGACCGCAUGGUCCGAGCUUGAAAGAUGGCUUUGGCUAUCACUUUUGGAUGGUCCCGCGGCGUAUUAGCUAGAUGGUGAGGUAACGGCUCACCAUGGCAAUGAUACGUAGCCGACCUGAGAGGGUAAUCGGCCACAUUGGGACUGAGACACGGCCCAAACUCCUACGGGAGGCAGCAGUAGGGAAUCUUCCACAAUGGACGAAAGUCUGAUGGAGCAACGCCGCGUGAGUGAAGAAGGGUUUCGGCUCGUAAAACUCUGUUGUUAAAGAAGAACAUAUCUGAGAGUAACUGUUCAGGUAUUGACGGUAUUUAACCAGAAAGCCACGGCUAACUACGUGCCAGCAGCCGCGGUAAUACGUAGGUGGCAAGCGUUGUCCGGAUUUAUUGGGCGUAAAGCGAGCGCAGGCGGUUUUUUAAGUCUGAUGUGAAAGCCUUCGGCUCAACCGAAGAAGUGCAUCGGAAACUGGGAAACUUGAGUGCAGAAGAGGACAGUGGAACUCCAUGUGUAGCGGUGAAAUGCGUAGAUAUAUGGAAGAACACCAGUGGCGAAGGCGGCUGUCUGGUCUGUAACUGACGCUGAGGCUC
rnacentral:rRNA from 2 species